CGGGGUAUAGCUCAGUUGGUAGAGCGCACGCUUCGGGUGCGUGAGGCCGCCCGUUCGAGUCGGGCUACCCCGACCA
rnacentral:tRNA from 1 species